GCAAGUCGUACGAACGGAGGGAAGCUUGCUUCCCGAAGUUAGUGGCGAACGGGUGUGUAACACGUGAGCAACCUACCUCUCGGCGGGGGAUAGCCGGCCUAACGGCCGGGUAAUACCGCGUAUCGCGCUGUAGCCGCAUGACUGCAGCGUGAAAGCGGCCGCAAGGUCGCGCCGGGUGAGGGGCUCGCGGCCUAUCAGCUUGUUGGUGAGGUAACGGCUCACCAAGGCUACGACGGGUAGCUGGUCUGAGAGGACGAUCAGCCACAUUGGGACUGAGAUACGGCCCAGACUUCUACGGAAGGCAGCAGUGGGGAAUAUUGCGCAAUGGCCGCAAGGCUGACGCAGCGACGCCGCGUGUGGGAUGACGGCCCUCGGGUUGUAAACCACUGUCAGGGGGGACGAAUACCCGGCCUCGAAUAGGGGACCGGGGGUGACGGUACCUCCAAAGGAAGCACCGGCCAACUCCGUGCCAGCAGCCGCGGUAAGACGGAGGGUGCAAGCGUUGUCCGGAUUCACUGGGCGUAAAGCGCGCGUAGGCGGCCGUUUAAGUCAUCUGUGAAAGCCCGGGGCUCAACUCCGGGACUGCAGGCGAAACUGAAUGGCUAGAGCUCGGUAGAGGCGAGUAGAAUUCCCGGUGUAGCGGUGGAAUGCGUAGAUAUCGGGAAGAAUACCAGUGGCGAAGGCGGCUCGCUGGGCCGAAGCUGACGCUGAGGUGCGAAAGCGUGGGGAGCAAACAGGAUUAGAUACCCUGGUAGUCCACGCCGUAAACGAUGGGUACUAGGCGUCGGGGGGAGCGACCCCUUCGGUGCCGUCGCUAACGCAGUAAGUACCCCGCCUGGGGAGUACGGCCGCAAGGCUGAAACUCAAAGGAAUUGACGGGGGCCCGCACAAGCGGUGGAGCAUGUGGUUUAAUUCGAUGCAACGCGAAGAACCUUACCUGGGCUUGACAUGCACGUGAAAUCCGGUGGAAACACCGGCCCCUCUUCGGAGCACGUGCACAGGUGCUGCAUGGCUGUCGUC
rnacentral:rRNA from 1 species